CGGCCCAGACUCCUACGGGAGGCAGCAGUAGGGAAUCUUCCGCAAUGGACGCAAGUCUGAUGGAGCAACGCCGCGUGAGUGAAGAAGGUUUCGGCUCGUAAAGCUCUGUUGUUAAAGAAGAACGUGGGUGAGAGUAACUGUUCACCCAGUGACGGUAUUUAACCAGAAAGCCACGGCUAACUACGUGCCAGCAGCCGCGGUAAUACGUAGGUGGCAAGCGUUAUCCGGAUUUAUUGGGCGUAAAGCGAGCGCAGGCGGUCUUUUAAGUCUAAUGUGAAAGCCUUCGGCUCAACCGAAGAAGUGCAUUGGAAACUGGGAGACUUGAGUGCAGAAGAGGACAGUGGAACUCCAUGUGUAGCGGUGAAAUGCGUAGAUAUAUGGAAGAACACCAGUGGCGAAGGCGGCUGUCUGGUCUGUAACUGACGCUGAGGCUCGAAAGCAUGGGUAGCGAACAGGAUUAGAUACCCUGGUAGUCCAUGCCGUAAACGAUGAUUACUAAGUGUUGGAGGGUUUCCGCCCUUCAGUGCUGCAGCUAACGCAUUAAGUAAUCCGCCUGGGGAGUACGACCGCAAGGUUGAAACUCAAAAGAAUUGACGGGGGCCCGCACAAGCGGUGGAGCAUGUGGUUUAAUUCGAAGCUACGCGAAGAACCUUACCAGGUCUUGACAUCUUCUGCCAACCUAAGAGAUUAGGCGUUCCCUUCGGGGACAGAAUGACAGGUGGUGCAUGGUUGUCGUCAGCUCGUGUCGUGAGAUGUUGGGUUAAGUCCCGCAACGAGCGCAACCCUUAUUACUAGUUGCCAGCAUUCAGUUGGGCACUCUAGUGAGACUGCCGGUGACAAACCGGAGGAAGGUGGGGACGACGUCAAAUCAUCAUGCCCCUUAUGACCUGGGCUACACACGUGCUACAAUGGAUGGUACAACGAGUUGCGAAACCGCGAGGUUUAGCUAAUCUCUUAAAACCAUUCUCAGUUCGGACUGUAGGCUGCAACUCGCCUACACGAAGUCGGAAUCGCUAGUAAUCGCGGAUCAGCAUGCCGCGGUGAAUACGUUCCCGGGCCUUGUACACACCGCCCGUCACACCAUGAGAGUUUGUAACACCCAAAGCCGGUGGGGUAACCUUUUAGGAGC
rnacentral:rRNA from 1 species